GCCAAUGUAGCGUAACUUGGUAGCGCGCAGGACUGUGGAUCCUGAAGACCGGGUUCAAAUCCCGGCCUUGGCC
rnacentral:tRNA from 1 species